GAGAUAAUAGCUCACCUAGGCUACGAUCUCUAGUUGGUCUGAGAGGAUGACCAGCCACACUGGAACUGAGAUACGGUCCAGACUCCUACGGGAGGCAGCAGUGGGGAAUAUUGCACAAUGGGGUAAACCCUGAUGCAGCUAUACCGCGUGUGUGAAGAAGGCCUUAGGGUUGUAAAGCACUUUCAGCGGGAAAGAAAGUGAUAUUAAUUAAUAAUUAAUAUCAAUUGACGUUACCCGCAAAAGAAGCACCGGCUAACUCCGUGCCAGCAGCCGCGGUAAGACGGAUCUGCAAGCGUUAAUCGGAAUUACUGGGCGUAAAGCGUAUGCAGGCGGUUUAUUAAGUCAGAUGUGAAAGCCCUGGGCUUAACCUAGGAAUUGCAUUUGAAACUGAUAUGCUAGAGUCUCGUAGAGGGGGGGAGAAUUCCAAGUGUAGCGGUGAAAUGCGUAGAGAUUUGGAAGAAUACCAGUGGCGAAGGCGCCCCCCUGGACGAAAACUUACGCUCAAAUACGAAAGCAUGGGGAGCAAACAGGAUUAGAUACCCUGGUUGUCCAUGCUGUAAACGAUGUCGAUUUGAAGGUUGUAGCCUUGAGCUAUAGCCUUCGAAGCUAACGCAUUAAAUCGACCGCCUGGGGAGUACGACCGCAAGGU
rnacentral:rRNA from 1 species